UGGGCGUAAGAGCUCGUAGGCGGUUUGUCGCGUCUGUCGUGAAAGUCCGGGGCUUAACCCCGGAUCUGCGGUGGGUACGGGCAGACUAGAGUGCAGUAGGGGAGACUGGAAUUCCUGGUGUAGCGGUGGAAUGCGCAGAUAUCAGGAGGAACACCGAUGGCGAAGGCAGGUCUCUGGGCUGUAACUGACGCUGAGGAGCGAAAGCAUGGGGAGCGAACAGGAUUAGAUACCCUGGUAGUCCAUGCCGUAAACGUUGGGCACUAGGUGUGGGGACCAUUCCACGGUUUCCGCGCCGCAGCUAACGCAUUAAGUGCCCCGCCUGGGGAGUACGGCCGCAAGGCUAAAACUCAAAGGAAUUGACGGGGGCCCGCACAAGCGGCGGAGCAUGCGGAUUAAUUCGAUGCAACGCGAAGAACCUUACCAAGGCUUGACAUGUUCUCGAUCGCCGUAGAGAUACGGUUUCCCCUUUGGGGCGGGUUCACAGGUGGUGCAUGGUUGUCGUCAGCUCGUGUCGUGAGAUGUUGGGUUAAGUCCCGCAACGAGCGCAACCCUCGUUCCAUGUUGCCAGCACGUNAUGGUGGGGACUCAUGGGAGACUGCCGGGGUCAACUCGGAGGAAGGUGAGGACGACGUCAAAUCAUCAUGCCCCUUAUGUCUUGGGCUUCACGCAUGCUACAAUGGCCGGUACAAUGGGUUGCGAUACUGUGAGGUGGAGCUAAUCCCAAAAAGCCGGUCUCAGUUCGGAUUGGGGUCUGCAACUCGACCCCAUGAAGUCGGAGUCGCUAGUAAUCGCAGAUCAACAACGCUGCGGUGAAUACGUUCCCGGGCCUUGUACACACCGCCCGUCAAGUCACGAAAGUUGGUAACACCCAAGCCGGUGGGCUAACCCUUGUGGGGGGAGCCGUCGAAAGGUGGGACCAGCGAUUGGGACUAAUUCUAACAAGGUAACCAA
rnacentral:rRNA from 1 species